GAAGAGCUGGAGACUGGAGAGAGAUGAAUAUGAAGCUAAAAUGCAGGAGAGAGAACAAACCACCCAGAUAAGAUUACAGAGAAAAAGCUAGCAGUUGCCUUCUGAUUCACAGCAGCACUUAUUCAGCAGGAGCUCCACUUCUAGGAAACUUUCUUUCUUGGCUGACCUGAUGACUAACAGCAGCAAACAAAAACAAAUAGAUGACUAAAAGGGAAUGUGCCAUCUCCCUGAAGAGCAGCUACAGAAGAUCCAGAUGAAGCACCAAAGGCUUUGCAAACUCAGUUGGCUUGACAAACGUGGCCUGAGAAACCUUCACCGAAUCCCACUGCCUCUGUGAUGGUGAAUCCACACUUCUUGUGACAGAACAAGAAUACUUUGGACACAUAAAAUUCCUCAAAUUGUAAUGGGGGACAUUCAAAGAGAUAGCCAUGCUUCGCCCUGUGUUAGCUGCCCUGAGUUCCUACGGAGAGAUGGAGGCGGGAUAGAAAAAUAAAGAUGAUGAUGA